rnacentral:rRNA from 1 species
AAUCUUGCGCAAUGGGCGAAAGCCUGACGCAGCGACGCCGCGUGAGUGAUGAAGGCCUUCGGGUUGUAAAGCUCUGUGGGGCGAGACGAAUAAGUGCAGCCUAAUACGUUGCAUGAUGACGGUAUCGCCUUAGCAAGCACCGGCUAACUCUGUGCCAGCAGCCGCGGUAAGACAGAGGGUGCAAACGUUGUUCGGAAUUACUGGGCGUAAAGCGAGUGUAGGCGGUCUGUAAAGUCAGGUGUGAAAGCCCCGGGCUCAACCCGGGAAGUGCACUUGAAACUCACAGGCUAGAGUAUCGGAGAGGUUGGUGGAAUUCUCGGUGUAGAGGUGAAAUUCGUAGAUAUCGAGAGGAACACCGGUGGCGAAGGCGGCCAACUGGACGAAUACUGACGCUGAGACUCGAAAGCGUGGGGAGCAAACAGG